rnacentral:misc_RNA from 1 species
UGAAUUUUCACAUGUUUAUAUUUUAGAAUCAUUAAUCAACCAAAGUAAAAAUUUUCCUAAUUUUGAUCUCAUUUUGUAGUCCAUCACUAAACUACUUCCUUACUUGUAUUCAAUUUGAAAUUAAUUUAUGGACUGUUUAUAACCAAGUAGCUACCGAAUUGGAGGACACGUUUCGUUUCUUACUGUGACGAGUUUCCUCUUCAAAUUAAAACAAAGAAUAAAGCCAAGCAGAGAAGAUGAUGGUGAGAAUCCGAUUAUGGAGAUUCGGGUGCAAACUCAAGCAUUAUAUUGUGUCGUAGCUGCUGAUAAUGGAAACUGUUGGUCUUUUAGGCUCUGUUUGGAUGGGGUGA